UGUUUUUCUCUCUACACAGAUUCUGGAAAAUUCUGUUGGUCCCAUUUGCCGUGACAUAUCUUGUACUGUGAGAUAAUUGGAAUGAUCCCCAAAGGAUUGCCAGUCCUUGCUCUCCAGGCUUUGGCUGAAGCCGUGGAACUCGGAGCGCAAAAAAUGGACCGGCUCGUUCACAGACGGACUCGGACAAUAUCUACGGCAAAGGUGUAUUAAUUGUGCUGUUCUGUGACAUUACUGCGCCCAAUAAAUCCGUUCUGAACUAA